AGGCAGAGGUUGCACUGAGCUGAGAUUGUGCCACUGCACUCCAGCCUGGGUGACAGGGCAAGACUCCAUCUCAAAAAAAAAAACUCCUCUGCCGAGAAGGCCACAAAACUCCCCAGUGUUUGGUCUUUGCCACAUCCCAAGAAACUGCGCCCCCCUCUGCCUGUCCCCCUGUCCCCAGCCAUUAAGCAUCACUCGGGUCUUUGAAUUGGUACAAAGUUUACUAGGUCAUACGACACGGCUCACAAAGCGGUGGGAAAUUCCAGUGAUGGCAUUGUUUGUUGGUUGGUUCCUUUUAUCCAAAUGGAGACAAGACACAUUUCCGCAGGACUGUCCACCUCCCCCCACGAGACAAACAGAAUGCAAGACUGUCACGCGCGGCUAGGACUGGUUCCACGGACACACGAUUUUGUGGCAUUGACACACCACGAUGCGAUGCCAGGCCACAGUGGGUGCCAGGAGGGGAGGAAGCAGCUAAUGCUAUGCCCACACUCUCCUUCAGGCAGUGCCCCCGGGAGGGAGGCCCGGCAGUGUCUGCUGGUGAUAAUACAUUUCACACGGGGAGGGGGAACCCCAAGGAUGGGCUUUGGAGGCCCAGAAGGCCUGUCAGGUGGUGUGAUUUUCCAUCUCCAGCCAAUAAAUGACUCUGUUGGAUGAAUGCAUACAUUAGAAAUGGAUGCCACUACACUUCACACGUGGGGGACCAGGUCGAAAUCAAACCAUGCAGAGUGGCAGGGCAAGUGAGGAGGGAUCCGGGUGAGAGAUAUUAUCAACAGCACACGCUCUAUUCUGUACCCUACAAUAUAUACCAUUAGUUGGAUUUUGCUUUCCUCCCCGCGCCGGCAGGCCCCGGCGCCAGCGUCUCCCAGCACAACUCGCUGGGAGGGUAGGGGGUCGCCGCUCGAAGAGAGAAGUGCUGGAGAGGAAGGACACGUUACAUUUUGG
rnacentral:lncRNA from 1 species